rnacentral:rRNA from 1 species
AGUGAACGCUGGCGGUAGGCCUAACACAUGCAAGUCGAACGGCAGCACAGUAAGAGCUUGCUCUUACGGGUGGCGAGUGGCGGACGGGUGAGGAAUACAUCGGAAUCUACUUUUUCGUGGGGGAUAACGGAGGGAAACUUACGCUAAUACCGCAUACGACCUACGGGUGAAAGCAGGGGAUCUUCGGACCUUGCGCGAUUGAAUGAGCCGAUGUCGGAUUAGCUAGUUGGCGGGGUAAAGGCCCACCAAGGCGACGAUCCGUAGCUGGUCUGUGAGGAUGAUCAGCCACACUGGAACUGAGACACGGUCCAGACUCCUACGGGAGGCAGCAGUGGGGAAUAUUCGACAAUGGGCGCAAGCCUGAUCCAGCCAUACCGCGUGAGUGAAGAAGGCCUUCGGGUUGUAAAGCCCUUUUGUUGGGAAAGAAAGGCAGCAGGUUAAUACCCCGCUGUUCUGACGGUACCCAAAGAAUAAGCACCGGCUAACUUCGUG